UCUCACUCUCUUUGAAAUUUUUAUUUGUCCACAUUCACAUUUUCGCAUUCCCGUUCGUUGGGGAGCUCAGUAUUUAAAUACUCUCUGCAUUUUGCGGUCGUCUUUUUCGGAAAUACGCGCGGCGUAGUUGCACAACAACAACAAGAACAACAGCGACAGAAAAGAGCAACUAAAGGAAUAACUACAUCAACACACACGACUAAUUUCACAAAUCAGAAACUGAAACGGCAAAAAUUAUAAAAUAUAAGUGCGCGUGAGUGUUUAUGAGUGUGCGUUGUUUAGGUUGUUAUAAAUUUUUUUAUUACAUUUCCUCCUGCACACCUUGUUCUUCUGUGCGAAUAAAAUUGAAAAAGAAUUGAAAAGGUUGCAAAAAACUAGCGGCUUGCGUUUUGCUGCGCUUUUUUUUUUUUUGUUGCUCAUACGCAUUUGGCAUUUAAAACCAACAGCAACAACAACUACAUUUUUUUUGCGAAUUGUGCGAAUAGACAAAAUCGAAAAAGUUCAUACGAAAGCAAAAAGAAACAACCAGAAGAAGCCAAUGCCAAAUUGUGUGAUCGGUUAAAAAAACAGCGAGAGUGUGGAAAGAAGUGAGAAAAUCGAAAAAAUAGUUAAACAGAGAGAGAG